CAGAACUUUAACACCGAAACCUGACAACACGUUACAAGAAUGGAAGAUUAAAGGUUCCUGUGACCUCACUAGAGAAGCAGAAGCUCCUGAUGCCAGAAGACCUCAGGCAGCUGGACGUUGGUGGACAGUUGCCAGUCUGCUACUUGCUAAAGAAGACUAUGUGUC